GCCCCGGUAGCUCAGGGGAUAGAGCGGCCGCCUCCUAAGCGGCAGGUCGCAGGUUCGAAUCCUGCCCGGGGCGCCA
rnacentral:tRNA from 1 species